UACGUAGGGACCGAGCGUUGUCCGGAAUCAUUGGGCGUAAGGAGCGUGUAGGCGGCUAUUUAAGUCCUGCGUGAAAUCCUGCGGCUCAACCGCAGACGGUCGUGGGAAACUGGAUGGCUAGAGUGCGGGAGAGGAGAGUGGAAUUCCCGGUGUAGCGGUGAAAUGCGCAGAUAUCGGGAAGAACACCCGUGGCGAAGGCGGCUCUCUGGAACGCAACUGACGCUGAGACGCGAAAGCGUGGGGAGCAAACAGG
rnacentral:rRNA from 1 species